rnacentral:rRNA from 1 species
UACGUAGGGUCCGAGCGUUGUCCGGAAUUAUUGGGCGUAAAGGGCCCGUAGGCGGUUUGUCGCGUCGGGAGUGAAAACUCAGGGCUCAACCCUGAGCGUGCUUCCGAUACGGGCAGACUAGAGGUAUGCAGGGGAGAACGGAAUUCCUGGUGUAGCGGUGGAAUGCGCAGAUAUCAGGAGGAACACCGGUGGCGAAGGCGGUUCUCUGGGCAUUACCUGACGCUGAGGAGCGAAAGCAUGGGGAGCGAACAGG